AGAAAGGAGAAAGAAUGUUGCAAUAAUUAUUACAAAGAAAGCGAAAUGUGCAAAGCUUGUCCUAGUGGAUGGUUUGGCAAGAAUUGCACAGAGAAGUGUCCGAAAAAUAAAUAUGGACAGCUUUGCCUUGAAAUAUGUGACUGCACAUCUGAUGAAAGGUGUAAUCCUGAACGUGGAUGUGUCUCGAAAGAAGGUGUUGGUGUGUGCUCUGAGGAUGAUGGGUAAAGUUUUACGUUUUUUCAAAGUAAAUUAUUAAAUGUAACAAAUCGUUUGA